rnacentral:rRNA from 1 species
UACGAGGGGGAGCAAGCGUUGUUCGGAAUUAUUGGGCGUAAAGGGUGCGUAGGCGGUCUGACAAGUCUGAUGUGAAAAUCUAUGGCUCAACCCAUAGUCUGCAUCGGAAACUGUCGGGCUUGAGUAAUGGGGAGAGGUGAGUGGAAAUUUCCGGUGGAGCGGUGAAAUGCGGUAGAGAUCGGAAAAGAACGACCAACGGCGGAAACGCAACUCUGCUGGGCCGACACAUGACACUGGAGAAGACGAAAAGCCUAGGGGAGCGAAAUGGGA